GCGACAUUCGUAAUCAUUAUUGUAAAUUGUGUAUUUAUAUUUUAUUUGGUGUUCACAUUCCGUCCAUUUAUUGUUAUUCAUUCCAUUUCACAUCAUUUUUAAUUCUAAUUGUUGCAGUGGCCGCCUUUCUUCCAGAACGUGACAACACUUGAAGGAAGAAUUAGUGAUUUUCCUUUGGGAACAGACAACCUAAUAUAUGUUACUAAAGUGUAACAAAUUGAAUAGCACCAGUCGUAAAGGUAAGUUCUUUCAUUAUUGUUCACAUGUAAGGUACUUUUGUACUUGAAUUUUUAAAAUUGUAUGAUAUGGUCUUGUUUUCACAUCUUGAACUCAUUAUUGUAUUCGAGUGUUGAAUAUUCUACAUGAAAAACAUAAAAUUAAGGAAAAGAGGAAAACAAUUUGAUAUUAAAUGUUUAAUUUAUGUUCAUAGGAGAUGUUUAUUUUGCUUAUUAAUGGUUCAGGAUAUAAUGUGUAUCAAUUAUUUUUCAAUUAAAUUGAAAGAAACUUGAUAAGUAUUUCGCCUUGUAAGGGGUAACAAUUAUCCAGUAUAAAGUUAGUAUUAAAUGUUAAUAAAUCAAUUAAAAAUGAUCUAUUAAAACCUAUCAGCUAUUGUAUGCCCACAUUACCACAUUGAUGCAAUACCUGUUAACCCGAAAACUUGUUUUAAAUGCAACCGAAUUUACAGUAGUGAGUGUAUGGUUGCAUAUAAGAUAUUUUUCUUUUACAUUAUUUUCGUUUGCUUUUUCUCUACAGUUUUCUCCUGGCAAAAGUGUCUACAUUCACGCCGUAUCAGUACUGUCAGUCAUAAAUGUAAAAAAGAUCAUUACUGAUUGUUGGAUUUAAUAUUAAAAUUAAAUAACAUACCUGGUGCUUGUGAAAGUUCUAGUGCAUUGCAUUCUUCUACGUCUAUGGCAUCUCAUUUAACCAUUAUCUAUUGUUUACAGAACAAGCUGGCGCUUUCCUGCAUCUAAGGUAUCACUUAACAUUUAUCUGUUGUUCACACCGUAAAUAAAUGUUAUCGUUCAUCUAUUGGUAUUUGCUUUCUUUUUUUAACAAAGAUCUAUAGUCGACCGCAUAAAUUAAUGUUUUGGUGUAUCUAUGAUUGUUUCACAUUUGUCAAAAUCUAUGGUCAAAGUGUCAUUUUGUAAUUCAGGUAUUUUAGUUGUUUAUUGGUGCGGGUUUUUAUUGUAUUUCUUCUCUUACUUAUAUAGGAGUGUAAUUAAUCCAUAAAUAAUACGUUUUUUUGCCCAUUUCUGCAGAUUUUCCAAUAAGUGAAAGAGAAUUAAAGAUCAAUUUGGCCAUUCUGAACAACUGAUGUCUACAUGGGUGGUGUUUUCCUGGAGUUUGUUCUUGAUUUGCAGUUUUCGCCUCCACCUUGCAACAUUAUGCAGUUAAUUCUCAAAGGAUGAGAGAGCAACUAGAGAUGUAUUUGAACUCUAUCAAAAAGAUAAAUUUGCUGCUAUAGAUUCCUCUUGGAUUUCAUUUGCUUUCCACAACUGCAAACUUUGGAACGUUACAAUUUACAGUUAAUUAAGAUCGACGAGGGAGAAGACAAAGAAGAUCCCGUAGUUAAAAUACUUCUAUAUCUUGCAUGUUCUAUUAGACACAAUUAAAUUAAUUUUUUAUUUUGCAUGGUUUUUGUAGUUUAUUUUAUUUGAAGUAAUUGUUGAUUGUAGACGU